AGAACGAACGCUGGCGGCAGGCUUAACACAUGCAAGUCGAGCGCGUGUAGCAAUACACGAGCGGCGCACGGGUGAGUAACGCGUGGAUAUCUGCCUUUUGGUUCGGAAUAACCCCGGGAAACUGGGGCUAAUACCGGAUGGUUCCUACGGGAUAAAGAUUUAUCGCCAAAAGAUGAGUCCGCGUCCGAUUAGCUAGUUGGUGAGGUAACGGCUCACCAAGGCUCCGAUCGGUAGCUGGUCUGAGAGGAUGAUCAGCCACACUGGGACUGAGACACGGCCCAGACUCCUACGGGAGGCAGCAGUGGGGAAUAUUGGACAAUGGGCGAAAGCCUGAUCCAGCAAUGCCGCGUGGGUGAAGAAGGUCUUCGGAUUGUAAAGCCCUUUCGACGGGGACGAUGAUGACGGUACCCGUAGAAGAAGCCCCGGCUAACUUCGUGCCAGCAGCCGC
rnacentral:rRNA from 1 species